rnacentral:rRNA from 1 species
GACGUAGGGGGCAAGCGUUAUUCGGAAUCAUUGGGCGUAAAGCGCUCGUAGGCGGAUCGAACAGUCGGUGAAGAAAGACCUGGGCUCAACUCAGGGAACGGCACCGAUACUAUCGGUCUUGAGGCAAUCAGAGGAUGAUGGAAUUCCCGGUGUAGCGGUGAAAUGCAUAGAUAUCGGGAAGAACACCGAUGGCGAAGGCAUUCUGCCGGGCCGACACUGACACUGAAAGACGAAAGCCAGGGGAGCGAAUGGG